AGCAGAGUGGCUCAGUGGAAAGAGCCCGGGCUUGCGAGUUAAGAGGUCAUGGGUUCUAAUCCCGGCUCUGCCA
rfam:Ornithorhynchus anatinus chromosome 1, whole genome shotgun sequence.